UCCCUGAUAGCUCAGCCGGUAGAGCGACGGACUGUUAAUCCGCAGGUCCCAGGUUCGAAUCCUGGUCGGGGAGCCA
rnacentral:tRNA from 1 species